rnacentral:rRNA from 1 species
UGGGGAAUCUUGGACAAUGGGCGCAAGCCUGAUCCAGCCAUGCCGCGUGGAUGAUGAAGGCCUUAGGGUUGUAAAAUCCUUUCGUGGGGGACGAUAAUGACGGUACCCCAAGAAGAAGCUCCGGCUAACUUCGUGCCAGCAGCCGCGGUAAUACGAAGGGGGCUAGCGUUGUUCGGAUUUACUGGGCGUAAAGCGCGUGUAGGCGGGUCGUUAAGUUGGGGGUGAAAUCCCGAGGCUCAACCUCGGAACUGCCUUCAAAACUGGCGACCUGGACUCAAGCAGAGGCAAGUGGAAUUGCGAGUGUAGAGGUGAAAUUCGUAGAUAUUCGCAGGAACACCAGUGGCGAAGGCGACUUGCUGGGCUUGUAGUGACGCUGAGGCGCGAAAGCGUGGGGAGCAAACAGGAUUAGAUACCCCAGUAGUCCCUGAGCGGGCUGGCAAGGCGCAU